AGAAGGCGGUGGUGAUACCUCCGGUCCAGAGGCCAGGAAUGUGCCCGUCUCGACCCCCGGAGCCGGCCUUACCCGGCCUCAUCCCUCCAGUCCAAGAGGCUGAAGCCCAGCACGGGAUGACCGAGGCGACUCUGCCUCUCAAGCGCGAGGUGGUGGACACACCCCUGUCUCAGGGAGAGGGAGCAAGAGUUUCUACGCCUUCCUCGUCGGUGAAGGACCAGGCCUCCUCCGAUCCUCACGGCUCCGAUGCAGAGAAAAGUGACGGUCUUCCUCAAGGCAUGGAGAGCCAAGAUUCGGAGCAGUUCUUCCGCAGGGUGCUGGGGGUGUCCGAUGGCUCCACUCUGGAGGGC
ensembl:lncRNA